rnacentral:RNase_P_RNA from 4 species
UUAGCAAGAUGGGUGAUUGCUCUGCGGUAAUUUGCAGAGAGGAAAGUCCGAACUCCCACUCUCCGAAAGGAGGUUAAAAAAGUAAUGGCUAACCGCCAUACACAGUAAUGUGCGAGGUGCGAACAGAAACGGCUCAAGCUGAAAAGCUUGGCAUUCCUUCAUGGAAUAGUCCUGCAGUAAUGCAGGGAUGAAACGGCUAAAUCCUUACUGGGUGCAAGAACAAACCUGAAAAGAGUUUCUUGAUUCUUAUUCAGUGAAAAGUAGUUCGCUUGAUUCCGAUGGCAACAUCGAGAACAGACAGAUAAUCACACUUCGCUCCUCUGGGGCGGAACACAGAAUUCGGCUUAUAAUCUUGCUGAGACA